rnacentral:misc_RNA from 1 species
GGAAAAUAUUAAUGGGGAAUUUGAAAGCAGUAGCUGUAAUCUCCGGGAACGAUAGUGUGCAAGGAUCCUUACAAUUCAUCCAGCAAUCCAAUGGUGUUACCCAUGUGAGAGGAAGAAUAAUUGGUCUAGCUCCAGGUCUUCACGCUUUCCAUAUCCAUGCCUUGGGUGAUACCACUAACGGCUGCAAUUCCACUGGACCUCAUUUUAAUCCACUUAAGAAAGAUCAUGGAGCUCCCAUGGAUGAAGUACGUCAUGCGGGUGAUUUAGGCAACAUUGUUGCUGGUCCUAAUGGGGUGGCAGAGAUAUCAAUUUCAGAUAUGCAGAUUCCUCUUAGUGGAGUACACUCCAUCUUGGGGAGAGCAGUAGUUGUGCAUGCUGAUCCUGAUGAU